AGAUAAUAGAUACCCAGGUAGUCCGCACAGUAAACGAUGAUAACUAGUUGUUUGCGAUAUACAGUAAAGCGACCAAAGCGAAAGCGAUAAGUUAUCCACCUGGGGAGUACGCCCGCAAGGGUGAAACUCAAAGGAAUUGACGGGGGCCCGGCACAAGCGGAGGAGCAUGUGGUUUAAUUCGAUGAUACGCGAGGAACCUUACCAGGGCUUGAAAGUUAAGGAAUGAUUAUGAAAGUAGUCAGUCAGCAAUGACCUAAAACCUAAGGUGCUGCAUGGCUGUCGUCAGCUCGUGCCGUGAGGUGUUGGGUUAAGUCCCGCAACGAGCGCAACCCCGUACUUCUAGUUGCU
rnacentral:rRNA from 1 species